UGCUUCAUCAAGAAGAUUACACAAUUACAGGUUUCAAUGCUGCCUGGAAGUCCUUUGAAAAAUGGCUCAGAGAAAAGCCCUGUAUUAAGGGCUUCUAUUAUAAAGGAGCAUUUUGACUAACAAGUCUACAUCUUGAGACCUGAGCUGUGGUCAGUGAGUCCUGUUGACCAGCUGAGGUCUGUGCCCUCCAUCAAGUUCUCCAUCACCCGGUGGUGGGACUGCUGUGGCUCAUGUCCUGUAGCAGUUCCAUUGCCACCAGAAGGUUGAAGGUUCCUGUGACAGCCACACAUCUCCUUGGAGCAUGUGGGAUCUUAGUCCCUCGACCAGGGAUCGAUCCCAUGCCCCCUGCAGUGGAAGUGCAGAGUCUUUACCACUGGACUGCUAGGGAAGUCCCCCACUUAAGUUUUUAAGUGACUGAACUGACAGAUCCACCAAACCAAGGCCUGCAUGUCAGGAA